rnacentral:rRNA from 1 species
GCCAGACUCCUACGGGAGGCAGCAGUGGGGGACAUUGCACAAUGGGGGGAACCCUGAUGCAGCGACGCCGCGUGGGUGAAGGAGCGUUUCGGCGCGUAAAGCCCUAUCGGCAGGGAAGAAGGAGGACGGUACCUGACUAAGAAGCCCCGGCUAACUACGUGCCAGCAGCCGCGGUAAUACGUAGGGGGCAAGCGUUAUCCGGAUUUACUGGGUGUAAAGGGGGCGCAGACGGCAGCGCAAGCCAGGAGUGAAAGCCCGGGGCCCAACCCCGGGACUGCUCUUGGAACUGCGCGGCUGGAGUGCAGGAGGGGCAGGCGGAAUUCCUGGUGUAGCGGUGAAAUGCGUAGAUAUCAGGAGGAACACCGGUGGCGAAGGCGGCCUGCUGGACUGCGACUGACGUUGAGGCCCGAAAGCGUGGGGAGCAAACAGGAUUAGAUACCCCAGUAC